UCAACACCUGGUGUAUCCAGUGGGCAGC
rnacentral:piRNA from 1 species